rnacentral:rRNA from 1 species
GAAACCGUUCAGGGGUAAACCUGAGAAACCCAAAAGAUCGAACGGGGAGAUUCAUCGGCAACGAGGCUGGCUCCCGUAGGUGCGCGAUACCCAGAAUGGGCCCUUGUGGUUUCAAUGCGAGGGUACACCACCUUCGGCGAACGUUUCGGCUAUGUAGUCGUGCACUUCUCCCUUAGUAGAACGUCGCGACCCGUUGCGUGUCGGUCUACGGCCCGAGUUGUUGCCUGGCGCGUCGUUUCGUACGCACGCGUCAAACGCUCGGUCGCCCGGCCGGCUGCGCGACGGUACUCUGACGGUAUCGGGCCGCAACCAAUCCAUUUUCGAAUGUAUGUGCGUCAGGCCCGCCGCAAGCUCGGUCAGUCUACUCGGAGGUACGGACCUGGUGCCGCCUCCGUGCCUGGCCAGCUGUUUGCAGGCGGUGUCCUUGGACUUGGCCAAGCCUUAAAUUACCGGUCGGCGACGCUACUGCUUUGGGUACUCUCAGGACCCGUCUUGAAACACGGACCAAGGAGUCUAACAUGUGCGCGAGUCAUUGGGACAUAUAAACCUAAAGGCGCAAUGAAAGUGAAAGUCGUCCUCUGUGUCGACCGAGGGAGGAUGGGCCGCGUUACAAUGCGGCCUCGCACUCCCGGGGCGUCUUGUUCUCAUUGCGAGAAGAGGCGCACCCAGAGCGUACACGUUGGGACCCGAAAGAUGGUGAACUAUGCCUGGUCAGGACGAAGUCAGGGGAAACCCUGAUGGAGGUCCGUAGCGAUUCUGACGUGCAAAUCGAUCGUCGGAACUGGGUAUAGGGGCGAAAGACUAAUCGAACCAUCUAGUAGCUGGUUCCCUCCGAAGUUUCCCUCAGGAUAGCUGGCACUCGCUCGUUCCUCCGUGAACGUGUGCGAGUCUCAUCUGGUAAAGCGAAUGAUUAGAGGCCUUGGGGCCGAAACGACCUCAACCUAUUCUCAAACUUUAAAUGGGUGAGAUCUCUGGCUUGCUUGCAUUAUUUGAAGCCACGAGAUUUUUGGAUUAGAGUGCCAAGUGGGCCAAUUUUGGUAAGCAGAACUGGCGCUGUGGGAUGAACCAAACGCAGAGUUAAGGCGCCUAAGUCGACGCUUAUGGGAUACCAUGAAAGGCGUUGGUUGCUUAAGACAGCAGGACGGUGGCCAUGGAAGUCGGAA